GCUUUUCCAGGCCCACAGGAGCAGACAGCAGCUCACCAGAUGCUUUCCAUGGGUUCAUGCUUUCCACUCCCCACAGGAAACUUCUCUCCCAACAUUCGUAGAGACUCCGAUUUUUCCACGGCAGAAGGUAUGAAUUACCUUUCUCUCCAACAACCUAACUGAUGAACAUAUUUCAUUAAACUCAAGAGUACUUGCUCUCAAGCUGAAUACAGUCUUGAAAAUUACUGCCUCUGUUUCAGACUUGAGUUCGUGUACCUGAAAGCUCAUCCACAAGCUUUCCCACAAACCUUUCCUUGCAUGUGUCUUCAGACUACUAUGGCUACAACAAUGCUACCACUCCAUGUGGUCUACAUGCCAGCACUCCUGAGGACACCAACUCUAGAGCACUCGACUCCUGACCACAGACACCUGGUCUAGCCUCCUUUACAGGGACAAAAAAAACCUUCUUAAAAAAGAACCUUCACUGAAAGUCAUUUUAGUUUUUCUUGCUGAAGCAUCUUCUCUCCUCUGGUGUCAUCAUCUUUAUUCUGUUCAAGGAAGAAUCAGGAGUGUCAGGACUGUCGUAGUAGUCAUAUGCUCUGGCACAUUUCUUCAUUAAAGCCAAAGUGAUCAAAAAGGGGAAAUGCAGAUGAAAAAGUGGGUAAAUUAGACAAAGACAGAUCCUGGUAGACAGAAAAAAAAAAAACAGUGUCCCUUUUGUUACAGACUACCAGGCCAAAGAGUUUUGCUUCAAGUACCGCCUUUGGUCCUGCUCCCACUCACAUUCUUUGGGCACCCUCUGUUGCAGUAUACCAGUCCUUGAAAGCAACUAACAUGGCCCUGGUUGCAAUCUGCUUAAGAUAGUUUACACUGAUGCAAUAUUGCUGAUUUCAGGAAAGACAUUCCUGACACCAGAAAAGUCGUAUAAAUAGUCUCAGGGCCAAGGUCAUUAACUGGGAUUCAAGAGAAUUGGAUUCGAGUUUUCCUACCCUCCUUCCACCCCCUUCAGAGACCUUGCGCAAGUCUUUUUAUCACUUCAUCCAGCAGUACACAGCUAUAAAGGAACAGGGAUCAUAAGAUUCCCCUCCUUGAGAGAAUGACUGUCAGGAUAAAGCCAGCAGUUAUGAGGAAGUCCUUGUAACAUGGCAAGGACAGCCAUAUAGCCGUAAUGAGCAGAUAUUUAGGUGUGAGUCCCCUGCUCUGACACUGACCACACUUUUAGUGCCACAUAAAUAAUUCUACUUUACUUUGGCAUGCUAUUAUCUCUGCACAGACAGGUUAAAGUGAAAAAAGAAGGUUUCUUUCUCUUCCCAGCCCUUGCAAAGGCUGGAGCUGUUCAGUGAAAUCUGAGAGGAACAGGAUUGUGGUAAUUACCUCACCUGCCUCACUCCAGAGAUCACCUCUUCACAAAAAACCUCAUGCACUGCAGCCACCCAAAAUGAGACAGCCCUGGGCAUUAACCCUGAGCUACAUGUCUGACUUGCUUUUUGCCUCAGGCUAUGCAGACGAAGCAAAGCUGGCCCCACACAAACCCCCAGGAAAGACAGCUGCCUCUGCCUUCUUAUCUUGACAAAGCUCCCAUCCCAGAUCACCCAGUGGGGUGGGGAAAUACAGCUGCUUCCUAUAAAACCAAAGGCUAUCCACCCAUCUGUAUCACCUCAUCACCUGCUAAACAGCUCUGACUCCUGCUUGGCACCAGGCAUUGUGAUACCUGAGUGCGGCAGAGGUCAAACACUCCUCAGCUCAGGACUUUCAGGAAAGAUUUGGGUGUGCCUUCUCCCUCCCCCUCCCCCCACACCAGUGCAAUAAGCAUCAGCAGUUUUGCAAAAGUGAUUUGCAUUUUCUCAACCCAGUCAUUUUUCAUAUCAAAGAGGUCUACGUGCCAAAAUAUAUGUGAGCCUAGGCACACAAGAGGCAAGAGUAGUCUCCAACUUGCCUUUAAGAAAAGUCAGGCAGUAAUGAGCUGUUCACUCGUUGAGAGAAAGUUGUUCCCAGUUAGUGAAUAGCUUCAGAGACCAAAGUUUGGCCCUGAAAGAACCUUAAGAACCUGGGAGCAAAGGUCAAACUUUGCCUCCUAGAAGAAUAUCUCACAGAAGAAAUCUAAUUCUACAUUUCAACCACUACGUCAAAUGCUGUUGUUAUCACUUAAGAAGAAUGCAAUGACCUGAGAUCCCUUUAGGAUGAUGGAGUCCAAACAUAUAAUUUUCUGAACCCAUUUAGAGAUAAUCUUGUCUCUCAAAGACUUCUUGGUUAAAGAAGAAAAGCACUCAGGCCUGCAAGGAUACUCAACUCUUCCCUUAUCUCACUGCCUCAUGACUGGAUUAGCUAAUAUGGAUCUGCAGGUUCAGGAUCUGAAGCUGAGCUGCAUCAAGUCCACGUGCUCCAGCUGGGCCUCCCAUGGCCUGGCUGACUCAAAGGUUGCAGUUACUGGCUGUACUGUGGAGAAGCCCUCCAGCCCCAGUGCCUCUGCUCUUCUUGCUUUGCAUUUCUUACUUCAACUGUUUGACAAGAAGUUCUAAGUGCUCUGAAAUCAGCACUGCAUCAUUGCAGCAUAACAUACAGCAGAUAAACAAGUCAGAGCAACUGAGGGUCAUCUGUUCAAGAUCAUGCAGGCAUCAGUGGCAGAGCUGGGUACAGAGUCCUGGGCUCCAGACUCCAGCCCUUGUUUUUUCCACAGUGGAUAUAGCAUGAUUUCAGGAUUAGAAAACUUAACUUGCAUAAAUCCAGCCCUGGCUUCUUCUCCCACCAUAAAGAAGGCUCCUGCCUGUUCUCCAUUGUAUGGCCUUUAUGGCCAGGGGUUUGGAAGGAAGACAAGACAAAGGAAUAACACACUGGUAAAUGAAGGCAGCCUGGCCUCUUGUGUUGCCCUGUCUCCUCAGCUGGUUAUAAUCUCUUCCACAAAACCAAGUAACAAAGGAAUGACUAACAACUAGAAAAGAGACCCUUACUGAAGCAAUGCAGCAGGGCAAAGGACUCUUGCCAGGCACACAGUACCUCUCCAGUGAAGCAUCUUAUCUCAUUGCUUCCAUGAAGACAGCAGAUCUCAGAGCCCAUCAUGCCCUCAAAAGGCAGCCACAUUGGAAAUCAACCCUCAUCUUCCACUGAAGGCGCUAAUUAAUGCUCCCGAAUCACCCUAGUUGCUCUGAACACAUUUGCCCUUAGAAGAGCAUAGACCUGGCCUAGCUCGUUACUAAAGCAGUUCACAAGCACCUAUUGGAGAGAUCUCAAGCACCCAAGGGAAGGAACAUGAACAGGAUUGCCCACGAAAUCCCUAGAUAUCCUACAGCAAGGGAAAAAAGUUGCAACCACAUGAUGCAAACCCCUUGCACUGAAGUAAACAUGCCCUAACCAGUCCCCAUCCAGGCUAAUUUCUUCCCAGCGCAAAUGAAUUUCUUCUUGAGACAGCUGUUUGUUCAUGUACAGGUGUCCAGAGGCAACUACUCCCAUGUUUCUGCCACUUUGUUUCAUGGCAUCUUCACCACUUACACCACAGCACCAGUUACAUCUAUUACUUCACCCCCUGCUGAAAGCAAUGGCAGUUCUCAUUUCUGGGGAGUACGCUCCUCCCUCUUUGUUUCUCCUUUAUGUUUUCAUGUCUUUGACCAGGCCUUUGUUUCUUUUCUGGGAACGUUAUUAGUUUGUGGCCCUGUUCUUCCUUCUGCUCUGAUGCCAAACAAGCACCAGUCCAAACCCAUCUCCUAAUGAAGAUUCCCUCCCAAAAGAACCUCUGGGUACUGCCUCAGAGAUGCUGCCUCGUUUCCACAGCAGCUUACUCCAAACUUGAGGGCUGUACUGUGCUGCUCUAUCAAGGGCUUGGAGAAAGUGAAUUGGAGCCAGGCAACUGGGGAAGGAACCAGGAAGGUCCAAUAGAGGUCAGCCUGCCAUCAGCAGGGGAGGGGAAGCAGCUCUGAAGAGAAAGCAGAGAACACGAAAGGAAAGGUUUGAGAUGGCAGAAGGGAACAAUUGAAUUAAAAUGGCUAGGUCUCUCCUAUAAUACCCACGGGGAAAAAGAGAAGAAUGAUGCCUUUCUGGUAUCUCCUUUGCCAGAAAGGACAGUGAACUGGUGUGUCCUCCAGAGAGCAGAACCAAGGAAGCUGGCUGUCCAGGGAACCAGCACUGAGGAACGCUUCUCACCCAGGUUCUCUGAUGCCAAAGUUUUAGAAGAGUCUCUCAUUUAUGCCAAUUUUCAUAAAAUGAACAGUAAGUAGUUCAAAUGGCUUCAACUGUAGCAAGCAUGCAGUGGAGUGACAAAGAGAAGCAAGGAGCACACUACCACCUACAUUCGCUAAACACACACACACAAACAGCCUGAAUCUUUUCAUUUUUAUAGGACCUGACUCUUAAGAUCAAUCUAGAAAGAAUGACAAGAGACUGUACGUUCACUUACCACCAAAUAUUUCUUCAUUGUGCAUUACCCAUGUCUGAAGCUCAACCCAGCAUAAAAACACACACUGCCAAGCACCUGGA